rnacentral:rRNA from 1 species
UCAGACGAUGCGUCAUGCAUAUCAAUAAGCGGAGGAAAAGAAACUAACAAGGAUUCCCUUAGUAACGGCGAGUGAAGCGGGAAGAGCUCAAAUUUGAAAUCUUCAAGGUUUUACCUUGACGAAUUGUAGUUUAAAGAAGUGUUUUCUGUUGAAGUUUUGGUAAAAGUUCUUUGGAAUAGGACAUCAUAGAGGGUGAGAAUCCCGUAUUUGACCAUUAUUUUCAGCUGUGUGAUACACUUUCAAAGAGUCGGAUUGUUUGGGAAUGCAGUCCAAAAUGGGUGGUAAAUUUCAUCUAAAGCUAAAUACUGGCGAGAGACCGAUAGCGAACAAGUACCGUGAGGGAAAGAUGAAAAGAACUUUGAAAAGAGAGUUAAACAGUACGUGAAAUUGUCAAAAGGGAAGCGUUUGACACCAGUGUUGUUUUCUCGAAAAUCAAUUAAAAAGAGUUGGAUUUUGUGUUGUAUUGACCUUAACAGCUUGCUUCACUCUUUUCCUGCUUUUUUUAAUGCACUUUUCGUUUAACAAGUCAACAUCAGUUUCUUUUGUUGUAAAAGGGUCAUUGGAAGGUGGCUUUCUCUUCGGAGAAAGUGUUUAUAGCCUUUGAUCUCUGCAAUCGGAGAGACUGAGGUCUGCAGCGUAGAUCCUUCGGGGUUAGAUACAUUUGUGCUAAGCUACAGCUUUUCAUAGACAACUUGUUGACUAUGUUUAGUCUUGUAACUUACCCGCUUAUGCUAUUUUACCUACGCUUAGGAUGUUGAUAUGCAUGACUGAUAU